rnacentral:lncRNA from 1 species
CCUAAAAUUGUUCUAUAUAGUAGCUGAAGAAAAGUGUGUGGUAAACCAAACGUGAAUAUUCAGAUUUGUGUCAUUGGUUCAUGCUGUUCAUUUGAUUGGUUGCUGUAUAUGUCACUCAGUGUCACCUGUUGGUAAUUGACCAUAGGUAAGGGAGUGAGCGAAAAGGGGGCGGGAAGAGAAAAAAGCGACAACAAGAGAGACGGAAGACUCGACGAGAAGGAGAGAAGAGAACAGAGAGAGAAAUGUGGAGCAAAGUAAAGUUAAGAAGUAAUGACGUUUUGGUAGAUAACUUGCUGAAUGUUUAAGUAACAUAAGAAGCUGUAGCUGAGGACAGUAACAUGCAUUUUUUUCCUAAUCACAGUGGAUUAGGGCGCUUGAGUUUUGCAAGAGUGACUGUGCUAACUAAGCUAAAGCAAGCGAGCUGCUAGCCAAGAGGAAGCCAUUGCUGAACGGGAAGGACUGUUUUGCGCUUCCUGAGGAGGACUUUGCGUUUGCUGCCGUUGGUUUUCAUCUCUUCAUGAACUGUUUCUCCAGGACUUAUUCCAGACCCCAGGAGCAUACGGCAAAAUGUAUUAAACUGAGGGGGGAGAAGGAUGACCUGUUUACAGGGGAAAAAAACUCGGUCUCUGUGGCUUGGAGGAUUGCAAGUGUCCAGGGACAGGUCAGGGCACUGGUGGGACACCCACUGCUGCCACUUGGCCCUGGUUUGUCCUCAUGGAUGAGGUAUUAGGACAGCGGCAUUCCACCAACCCAACUGUCCUAAUUGCCACCAUCCAUGAGGACACACCAGGGCCAAGUACAGCAGUGGGUGACCAGGAGGUGGAGGAGCAGGAUAAGGACGAGGAGGAGGAGGAGGAGGAGGAGGAGGAGGAGGAAAGACAGCCAUGGCCAAAAGGGCCAAAUAGAAAGAGGGGCAGAGAUGAUGAGCUGCUGGACCUCAUAAAGGCGGAUAUGAGGAUGCAGAGGAAGGCAGAGGAGAGGAGAGCCCAGGAGACCAGGGAGAGGAUGGAGAGGCUGUUCUCUCUGCUAGAGAGACUGCCUUGUCUUAUGCCUGAGUGUCUGUCCAUCUGGUGCAACCAAUCCCAGGACAGAAAGGCUCUGCAGUGGGCAAUAAAACUUUCCAGAACGUCAUAG